CCUGACGACGCAACGCCGCGUGGAGGAUGAAGGUCUUCGGAUUGUAAACUCCUGUUGCCCGGGACGAAAAGCUCUGACCUAACACGUCGGAGUCUGACGGUACCGGGUGAGGAAGCCCCGGCUAACUCUGUGCCAGCAGCCGCGGUAAUACAGAGGGGGCAAGCGUUGUUCGGAAUUACUGGGCGUAAAGGGCGCGUAGGCGGCCUUCUAAGUCGAACGUGAAAUCCCUGGGCUCAACCCAGGAACUGCGUCCGAUACUGGGGGGCUUGAAUCCGGGAGAGGGACUGCGGAAUUCCAGGUGUAGCGGUGAAAUGCGUAGAUAUCUGGAGGAACACCGGUGGCGAAGGCGGCAUCCUGGACCGGCAUUGACGCUGAGGCGCGAAAGCCAGGGGAGCAAACGGGAUUAGAUACCCCGGUAGUCCUGGCCCUAAACGAUGAAUGCUUGGUGUGGCGGGUAUCGAUCCCUGCCGUGCCGAAGCUAACGCAUUAAGCAUUCCGCCUGGGGAGUACGGUCGCAAGGCUG
rnacentral:rRNA from 1 species